AGAGUUUGAUCCUGGCUCAGAUUGAACGCUGGCGGCAUGCUUUACACAUGCAAGUCGGACGGCAGCACAGAGAAGCUUGCUUCUUGGGUGGCGAGUGGCGAACGGGUGAGUAACAUAUCGGAACGUACCGAGUAAUGGGGGAUAACUAAUCGAAAGAUUAGCUAAUACCGCAUAUUCUCUGAGGAGGAAAGCAGGGGACCUUCGGGCCUUGCGUUAUUCGAGCGGCCGAUAUCUGAUUAGCUAGUUGGUGGGGUAAAGGCCUACCAAGGCGACGAUCAGUAGCGGGUCUGAGAGGAUGAUCCGCCACACUGGGACUGAGACACGGCCCAGACUCCUACGGGAGGCAGCAGUGGGGAAUUUUGGACAAUGGGCGCAAGCCUGAUCCAGCCAUGCCGCGUGUCUGAAGAAGGCCUUCGGGUUGUAAAGGACUUUUGUCAGGGAAGAAAAGGCUGUUGCUAAUAUCGACAGUUGAUGACGGUACCUGAAGAAUAAGCACCGGCUAACUACGUGCCAGCAGCCGCGGUAAUACGUAGGGUGCGAGCGUUAAUCGGAAUUACUGGGCGUAAAGCGAGCGCAGACGGUUACUUAAGCAGGAUGUGAAAUCCCCGGGCUCAACCUGGGAACUGCGUUCUGAACUGGGUGACUAGAGCGUGUCAGAGGGAGGUAGAAUUCCACGUGUAGCAGUGAAAUGCGUAGAGAUGUGGAGGAAUACCGAUGGCGAAGGCAGCCUCCUGGGAUAACACUGACGUUCAUGCUCGAAAGCGUGGGUAGCAAACAGGAUUAGAUACCCUGGUAGUCCACGCCCUA
rnacentral:rRNA from 1 species